rnacentral:lncRNA from 1 species
UUAGACCAUGUAGUGGCGCUUGAAGUAAUUCCAUCAAAUGUGAUAUCUUGCCUUCCAAAUUUGCAGAUGUUUAGAAUGCUGCACGCCUUGGAUAUUGUAGAAUAUGAUGAAGUUGGAGUGUUGCAGGAGCUGGAGUGCUUGGAAUACCUCAGUUGGAUAAGUAUCACCUUACUUACAGUCCCAGCUGUUCAAAUAUAUCUCACCUCCUUGAUGCUGCAAAAGUGCGUACGAGAUCUAUGCUUGAUGACGUGCCCAGGUUUGAAGGUGGUGGAGCUGCCACUUUCGACUUUGCAAACACUCACUGUGCUUCGAUUUGAAUAUUGUAAUGAUUUGGAACGUGUUAAAAUAAAUAUGGGACUGUCUCGAGGUCAUAUCUCAAACUCAAACUUCCACAACCUUGUUAAGGUGUUUAUUAUGGGAUGUCGAUUCUUGAACCUGACUUGGCUUAUUUAUGCUCCAAGCCUUGAGUUCCUGUCAGUUCGUGCUAGUUGGGAAAUGGAAGAAAUUAUAGGGAGUGAUGAGUAUGGAGACUCAGAAAUUGACCAACAAAAUCUCAGCAUAUUCUCAAGACUUGUGACGUUACAGUUGGAAGAUCUCCCAAAUCUGAAGAGUAUCUACAAGCGAGCUUUGCCAUUUCCUUCCCUCAAAGAGAUCAAUGUGGGUGGUUGUCCAAAUCUAAGGAAAUUGCCAUUGAAUUCCAAUAAUGCCACCAACACUUUAAAAGAAAUUGCGGGGCAUCCAACCUGGUGGGAGCAGUUGGAGUGGGAGGAUGACAACCUCAAGCGCAUUUGCACUCCGUAUUUCAAAAAAAGGUAUUAGAGUUCUAUGUCAUGGAGGUUUGUUGGAAUUGUUGGGUUUCCUUCAUUUCCUUUCCUCCCUGUUUUCUAACAAACCCAUUGGCCUUCCUCUCCCAGGUACAUUUUCUGUUUUCGCUUCCAUUUGUUUUAUGUCAUGAGAGAUGUUUGAAUGCACUUCCACAUAUAAAUAUUGUUCAAGAAAUGAAGUUUUGUCCAAGGCAAAUGAAUGAUUGUUUUUGUAGGAGAAGUUUUUGAAGAACAUUUGGUGCAAUUGUUGAGUAAUCGGAUGGUGGGAAUGCAUAGGAAGGACAUCAAAAUAGUAAUUGUGAAGAAAGAACUUUUUGUAUGUAUGUGUAUUGUGAAGUUUUAAGGUGAUCAAUUUCCUAUGUUUCUAUAAAAUUUGACUAUUCUUAGCUUAAGUUUCUGUCUUGAAAUAUUCUAAAUAUUAUCUUGAAGGUGUAAACGUCUUAUAUUGUGUGAAAACAUGGAUGGGGUGAAUAGAUACUUCUCUAAUUUUAAAAGUUUUGCAUUCUUUGAUUCAAUUAUAAGAUUUUGCCUACCCUAAACAUUAUUCUCUUUUAGAAUUUAAUAUUAUUAAAAAAAUGUAAGGAUUAAAUUAAAAUAUGGAUGAAAGUAGACGAUUGAUUUUUUGUAAGAUUUAUUAAAUAUUAAACAUAAAUAUUUUUAAUUUUAUUUUUUUGGGAAAAUAAAAUUAUUUUUGAUGAUUUUUAGUAAUUUGUUGAUGAGUGGGGAAAUUUUUUCCAUGUUAUAUCAAUAUUAUUAUUGGUUUGGUAAAAAAAAAAUGGUAUAGGUGAAAAUGAAGUGUCACUUUCCUUCUUCAUAAUUUUUAUUUAAAAUAAUUUUAAAUUGUUUUAAAAGUUACUAUUGUAAUAAAAUCGAAGCAUACUUUAUAUUUUGUCAAUGAAAUUUAACAUUUUAAAUUUGUUAGCAUUUAUUUGUAUGUUUAUCUUUUAAAUUUUUUUUCAUUUAAACAAUUUAAAGCAUAGUAAAAUAAAUUCUUACUUGAAUUUCAAUCUUUAAUUUCUGAAAUUCAAAAAUAUUUAUAAUAUUUAUGAAUUUUUUUUAUUGUUAUUUAACACUAAGAAAUAAUGGUUACUUUUUUUUUUUUUUGUUACUUGAUUUACAUCAUUUAAAAAUCAAAUUUUUUAUUUAAAAAAAAAAUCAUAUAUCACUCAAUAGUCCCAAAAAAAAAUCAUAUAUCACUCAAUCAUUUAAAUUCUAUAUAAUUUAGUCUAGGUUCACUUACAAUUUGAUAUUGUUUUUAAAAAAACAAGUUUAAAGAUUAAAUUAAAAUAUGGGAAAGUGGUCAAGUGAUUUUUAUAAUUUAAUCUAAUUUAUUUAUAUUGUUUUUAAAAAAACAAGUUUAAAGAUUAAAUUAAAAUAUGGGAAGAAAUAUUGCAAAAUGGGAGUCAAGAAAUCCAACAGAAAUGUCUCGGAACCUGUCCUGAGAAUUGCAGGUCAAGCUACAGGCUGGGGAAGAUUGUGAGUAGAAAGAUCGAUGCUGUGACUGAAUUAAAGGGCAAAGGGCAUUUUGAUUUUGUGGCUCAUAGAUUGCCUUGUGCUCCUGUGGAUGAGAGACCGAUGGGGAAGACUGUGGGCUUAGACUUGAUGUUCGAGAAGGUUCGGAGAUGCCUGGAAGAUGAGCAAGUAAGAAGUAUUGGGUUGUAUGGAAUUGGGGGUGUUAGAAAAACGACCCUCUUGCGGAAAAUCAAUAAUGAGUAUUUUGCAAAAAAUACUCAUUAUUUCCUGUUUUUUGGCUUUUUAUUGGAUUUAAAAUGUUGGGAUAUUAAAAGAAUUUCACUAUUUUAAAAUUUAGAAUUUUUUAAAAUAAAUUUUAAGGGUACAAAAUAAGAUUAUAUGUUUCAUAUAAAAGUUUCUAUAUUAAGUUUUAUUUUAAAAAAAAAAAUUAGUGUCCUUUUGGAUAUAUAUUUCCUGUUUUUUGGCUUUUAAUUGGAUUUAAAAUGUUGGGAUAUUAAAAGAAUUUCACUAUUUGGCCAUGGGAAGCGAAAUUUAGUGUCCUUUUGGAUAUAUAUUUCCUGUUUUUUGGCUUUUAAUUGGAUUAAAAAUGUUGGGAUAUUAAAAGAAUUUCACUAUUUUAAAUUUUAGAAUUUUUUAAAAUAAAUUUUAAGGGUACAAAAUAAGAUUAUAUUUUUCAUAUAAAAGUUUCUAUAUUAAGUUUUAUUUUAAAAAAAAAAUGUAUCCAAGCAAGUCUUAAUAAUAAUUUCUUUAGGUUUAUGAAUUUGAUAUUGCAAAAAAAAUUAAAUAAAAAUUUGUUUUGCACCUUCCUUUAGGAAAAGGAGUGGUUAUAAAUAGAAAUGAUUAGGGGUGUAAUACAUUGGUCCCACCCAACCCAUCCUGAACCCAAUUGCAUAUUUGAAUGGCUUUGGGCAAAUAUUUUCAUUAUUCUGAUUAAAUUUGUGUUAAAUUUUUUCAAUUUAAACUUAACUUGGGUUAGCUUCAAACCAAGCUUGGAAUAGUUAAUGUUUUUAUAAUGUUUAUGAUAUUUAUUAUUAUGUAUAGUAAUAUUUAAUUUUUUUAUAUUUUUAAGAAAAAUAUCAAGUUAUAAUUAUUUUUUUUUUCAUUUUUUAAAGAAAUAUAUAUAUAUAUAUAUAUAUAUAUAUAUAUAUAUGAGUUUAUUUAUAAUUUUUUUGUUGUUAUUUUGAAAUUUUAUAUAUAGAUAAAAAAAGUUUUUAAAAAAACAUUAUGAAUGAAUUUUAAAUAAUGCAAUUCAAUCAAUCCUAUCAAUAAUCAAAUUUAGUUGAAUUAAUCUGAAUUUAAUUUAAUCAACUCAAAUUUAAAAAAAUAAGGUUGAAUUGGAUUUAGAUUAGGUACAUUUAGAGAUUAAUUUAGAUUAAGUUUAGGUUGGUUGUUUGUUAAUUUGAUGUAAAAAUGCAGGAUAAGUUUUAUAUUUGUAAAUAAAUAAAAAUAAAAAAGACCUGAGAAAUAAUAAAUAAAUAAUGUAAAAGAGUAUAAAAGGAAGGGUGGUGGAGAAAAAAAAAAGGUAAAAAAUUGCUAGUCGAGCCAGGUCAUUGCGUUAACGACGCAAAUAAGGGGUUGUGUGAAGGGCAUUUUGGUCAAUCUAAUUUGAUGUUUGGAACUUGAAAGUUGAAACCCUAGCAAAACCCUAAUCGUCUCAUACGUGUGUAUAUAUAAACACAUACGCACAGAGAGUGCCAGAACAAACCUCCUAAUCUCCCAAAGCGGUAUUUUUUUGUCUCUCUCUGAUCUGGUAUUACAAUUCUUCUGCCACAGAAAUUAGGGUGAGGGAUUUGGUAGAACGUUAGGAAAUGUUAGAAGCAGGGAUUGUGUGUAUCGGCGUUGUGCUACAAUUGAUGCGCGAUGAAGCCGAAAGAGUUCCCUGCAAUAAUGAUCGAGGGGAAGGUGGGCAGUUGGGUUUCAUCUCUACCAUUGAAAUUCUCAACAAUCAUCUUCCCCACNNNNNNNNNNNNNNNNNNNNNNNNNNNNNNNNNNNNNNNNNNNNNNNNNNNNNNNNNNNNNNNNNNNNNNNNNNNNNNNNNNNNNNNNNNNNNNNNNNNNUAUAUAUAUAUCAUAUUUAUUUUAUAUUAUUGAAUAUAUCUAAAUUAAAUAAAUUAUAAUUUUAAUAUUAAAUGUAAUAUUAUUUAUUUAAUUAAUCUUAUUUUAAAACCGUUAUUAUCAUUUUACUUUUAAAUUUUUUUAUAUUUAUCUUUUUAAUUUUAUUUAAUUUUAAAUAUUUUUAUUUUAAAAUAUUUAAAAUAUAAACUUACUCAAAAAUUAAUAAAAUGUAAAAAAUUAAUUAAAUUUUAAUAUUUUAUAAAUUAAAAUUAAUUUAACAAGAUAAAUUUUUAAUAUGAUUUUUAAUAUUUUAAAUUAUUUAAAUAAAUUAAUGUCAAUAGCAAAAAAUUAUCAUCAUAAAUUUAUAUUAAAAAUUUUAAAAUUAAAUCUCAAAUAAAAUAUUUUAUUUUAUAUAAAUAAUAUAAAUGAUUUAAUUUUUAUUUAAAAUUAAAUAAAGCAUGUUUUAAAAUUUUAAAAUAAAUGAAUAUAAAUAUAUUUAUUUAUAUUCCUUUUGAAUGAACAAUGGAUAACAGAAAAACUGCUUUGAGAAAGCCACACAAGUGAUGAAGUAUGGGCUUCAUAUCGUAUGUUUGUUUCCCAUUGUGAAAUCUUGUUUUCAAUAUCAUUCCCAACUUCCAAAUUAUAUCAAUAGAUUGGAUUUGGGAGGGGUGUUUGGGUUAUAACCAAGGACUUGAGAUCAUCAUGAGCCUUAGCUUUAAUGGUCUCUUGGAUGAUAAUGUACCAAAAUGUAUAUUAGUAAUUAACAUAUAUAUGAAUACAAGUCACUGAGUUUGAAAGCAAUAUCGAUCCCAUUGCUACUCAGGAGACCCACACCUACAUAAGCCUUUUUUUUUUCUAACUAUCAAACAUAUUUUUUUUUUUGUUCUAAAAAAUAGAACAAACCUUUAAUCUUCAAUGAUUUGAAUUUCAAGUUUCCAAUGAAGAUUUGAAAUUUUGAAAAUUAUCGACUAAAUAUUAUCAAUAUCAAAGCACUACCACGCGCUAGUCAACACGAUCAAAGCCAAAAUUAUUUUUAACUUUGUCAAAUCUACAUUGGUGUUCCAUAUCUAUAUGUAAAUCAACUGCCCAGAAAGGUAGGAAGGUUGCAAAGAUGUUUUUAUAUCCAAACAUUUGGUCUUGGACUUGGAAAAAAAAAAUGAAGCUUCCAUGUAUUUUGUUUUAAUUAUAGCAUUACAUUGCCUUCUGAAUUCCAGGACUAAAAGAUUCAUGAUUUUUUUUUGUGCCCCAGAAACUUUGAAUCAGAGGACAGAAGAACAGUAAGGAGCAAUGCACCUUAUUCUUCAAAGUUCAAUGGCAAGAAGAACAGAAUUUUGAUUACAUAUUCCACUUAUUCAUCAAUGUGGUUUUCUUCUGGGGUGCCAUCAUCCAUGGUUUCUUCAGCUUAUUCUGAUCAAACCAAUAAUGAGAAAGUGCCUCCUCAGGUUAAAGCUAUCAGUACCAAAAUGGAAUUCAAUCGGGUGAAUUGUCUUGUGUGGGUAUUGCAUGAGUCUGCUAGGAGCUUUUCCCACACGGUUGAAUCUUUUAAAUUGGCUAGAAGCCGUCCAGAGCUAGCAAUGGCUUGGGUGGCAGUUGAUGUGCAUGCCUGGCAUAAGCGCAUUGCCCAUCAGGUAUGCACUUACACAAAAGCCAUUAGCACUAAGUGAUUAGGGUUCUUCCUCCAUAAACUGAUACAGAGUAUCAUGCUUGUACUUUUAUGACUUUCUUGUUGGCAAGAUAAAUUUAAAUAAGAAUUAUACCAUUGUGGUAGGACAGGUAGCAGUUUAUGCUUUAUUAAGAACUGCAAUUGAACUGGAAUUCAUUCUUUCUCAUGGACGCUGCAACAGUCCUUCUCUAGUUCGUGAGAUGUAAGUUCUAAAAUCGUCUUUUAGAAGUCUAAUGUUAAUGGAUUUGCUUUAGUCCUGGAAGUUGUAGUUGGUUAACUAGUGAAACUUGCACAUGCUAUGCCUGAAAACAUCUUUUUGAAGUUUUGUUUGAACUUCCAUACAUGAUAUUCCAUCACUUGUGGCUCAGUUUUGAUGUCUCUUCCUCACUUCAAAGGCAAACGGUGAUUGCAACCUUGUAUGCUACGACUAACAUUUUGUUCCUUCAUUUCAUUCAGCUUGUCCCCAAUGAUAAACUCGGUCAAGCAAAACAUAGAAAGCCGGUUGAAGACAAGGCACCCAAAAUUGGUUGAAUGGUUUAGAAUGGUGGAACUGCCACGUAUAGCGGGAUUUUUCAUUCCAUUGUUGAAGAAGUGGUCUAUGGAAUAUGCUGGAAGGUUAGCUCACAGAAUUCUUAAAUCUUGGACAAAUUCCCACUGCUCUCACAGGUUUAUUUUUUCAUCUAGUACCUUGAAUUGGAAAAAUAGUAUAAAACACAAUAAUUUUCAGUGGUGUUGCAGGGAUUAUUCUGGCUAUAAGCUGCCGUGUGGCAGUAGGAAAAUUGGGUUCUGACCAUAUUUCCUGCCCCUUGUUUAUAUCGUCUAUUGAGGACGCAUUAAUAGAUCUCAUGAAUUUGUCACACAGUCUUGUUUCAGUGGAUAAAUUGUACCAGUUGGCCACUGAGGCAGGUUUUGAACGGGAGUUCCUGUAUAAUUUUGGUACAAAGAUUCAGCUUAGCCAGAAAAGUGAAGAUGUAGAAUUUUGGAUUGGUUUGGCUCAGAAAAAACUCGCUAAAGCAAUUCGCAGAGAAAGUGUAUUUUCAGGCCUUCAGACUUUUCAAGACAAGGUCAGUUCAGUGAUUCAUGCAAUAACCUCCUGGCCUUUGUCAUGGACACUCUUGGACAAUCCCUAGAUAGUUUCAUUUUCAAUUUACUGGACCAUAAGAGUUUGUUCUAAAGGAAUCCAUCAAAGCUAAGUGUGCAAGUUCUACAGAAGCAAACAUAUGGUUAUCAUCCCAAAUGUCGAUCCCUCAUUCGGAAUUGUGAAUAUUUGAAUGCUAAGGGAAGUAUUUCUAAUGUUCUAAGCCCUGGUCUUACCUUUGUCUAUUAAUGGUUGACAGGUUCAAGAGAGUAAUUGUCUGGCUACUCUAGGAAUUUUUGCAUUUCUGGGAAGAAAAACAAGAUUAUUCUUCUCAGGAAUGGGAAUAAAGGAUCUUGAUGAGCAGGUUAAGGACUUCCUCAGGUGCAUCACUCUGCAUUUUUUUUCUAUAACCCUCUUAAACUUCUCAACUUUAUCCUUAAGACUCCAAUAGGUUCAAUGCUUUGAUUUCAGUUACUUGGAGUGCGGUAGCCUUUUCAUUUACCCCAAGUUUUCUUCACUCUCUGUGUAUCAACUUUUCAUGGAGGUCAGUUAGUUUUGAUACACUUACAAUAGGGAUGUGAAAAUAUUCAAACUCCCUUUACAGGUAGUAGCUGAUGAAAUUGGAUGGCUUGAUUUUUAUGCUGCAUUUUCUUUCGGAUUCAAUCAAGAGAGAAGGAGUUCCAAACCGCAUGCCAUCCAAGCAGAGAAAGAGAUUAUUUUACAUACUGUUUUUACGGUUUGCUGUGAUGUUUUCUCUGGGUUUGCACAUUUCAGCAGUUCAACUCAGCAGCCCUUAAAUGCAGACUUGUAGGCAUUCUUGCUCUGAAGGUAGUAAGCAUAAUCUCAAUUUUAAAUUUUCUUUCCUGAAGUUGCCAUGAUUGUUGAUUUAUUUUAACUUUUUAUUUUAUUUUAUUUUUUUUCAGUCAGAGCCUACUUACUAGUUGUCUGGAAGACUACUGGGCUGCCUAUGAUAGAUCAGGGUACCGAUUUCUCAAGCAGUCAGCUGCAGAAGAUUACAGAAAGAAAUGCCCUUGACCCAACACAAUCCAUUGGAACUAAAAGCACUACAAGUUCAUCUCUAACCUUGGAAGCACAACAGAAGGUGACCGACUUAAUGGCAAGGGGAAAUCCAAAAAAAAACCUCAGUCUGGGAAUAAACUGAGCAAGGUAUGAGUCCUCAGUGGAUAGAUGGACCCAACAACAACUGUGAAACAACAUUCUGAAAUUAUUCUUCGUAAAUAAAUGACUGCAAUACACAAUUUUAGGCAACAAUUACCAUAAUUUGCUGCUGGCAGGCUAGCUGCAAAGUGGGGACAGAGACAAGAACCCUGGUGGAGGCAGGAAGGACAGCUGAAUCAGAGGCUCUGCAUCAAAUUUUACUCAGGAAAUCCAGCAUGAAGUUGAUAUCUACAAGCUCUGUAAGUCCAAUGAUCAUCUGACUCGAUGAUUGGUAAAAAAAAACCAUGUCAAAGUUCAGAUGCUAAUGCUUCAAAUUGAACUGUGUUUAAGGAUAUAUGGAUGGGCACUCAGCUGCUCUUCAUAGACAUCAUGGCUUCUCUGGAGCUUCUGCUAAAGCAAAUGCGUGGCCGCAGGAUUACAGAAAGGGAAAGAAAGAAGCUAAAACAAACACUAGCUGGUAUUGCUUCACUUAUCCCAGUUACAACUGUAAUGCUACUCCCUGUAAUCACCUACUCAUCAACUCUUUAUUCUCCAAUUUUUUAUCUUUCAUCAUUGGCUGAAGUAGCAGUUCGCUUUCUCUUUUCUUAUCCAUGUUUGUGACUUUUGAUCAGACAAAAUGAAUUAUAAUUGCCAUAGAAGACAAUUUAUCUGGGCUUGCAUCAACUGUCAAAAUAAUCACAAGAGAGGUGCUUUAAAAUCCUUUUAUCUUUUUCUGUGAUCCAGGUAUCUGUUGUAGGGCAUGCGGCCAUCUUAGCAGCUAUAAAUAAGUACAUGCCAUCCUUGGUAAUUCUUGUCACCCUUUCCCUCACAUUUAUGGUCUUAUCCUUUCUUUCUGCUAAUCCUGUUUCAUUGAUGAUACUGGAUAUUAGAUCCCAUCUCCAUAUUCCUCCGAGCGACUAGAUGUUGUAAAACAACUGAAAAGAAGCAAGAAGAUGGAAGUUCAGACAAUGAGCAACCAACAGGAUGCAUCCUCUGCUAUCUCAAAAAUAAAUGGUUAAUGCUAACGUGUUGUCCAUUGAUCACUUGAACAUGACAUGUAUACAUUUCUAUGAACAUGUGGAUGCUUACAUAUAUUCAUUGGUGAUGAUCAAAUUCGUAGUGUCAAGACAAAUAAUUCUACCAUUCUAAAGUAGAUUUUGCUUAAACAAAUAGCUUUAGCCCAGAAAGAAUAUGGUGUGAAUUGAGAUGGUGAUGAUCAAAAGGUGGGAUGGUGAAAAAUCAUAUAUAAGAGUUGAAAAAUAUCGGUUUUAAAUGAAGAAAUGAAAUUGAUCAAAAUUAGAACAAAAUAUAUUAAUGAAAAAAAUACUCGGAUUUUGAAUUCACUAUAAAUCAAUUUCGAUAUUAAAAAGCCAAUAAUAUUUAUAAUUUAUCAAGUUAGGUUGAAGACCUUAAAAUUUCAUCUAAACCGAUAUUUAAUUUAACUUUAAAUUUAAAUCCAUUAAAAUCUCAAAUUAUGAAUCUUAAUUGCUUUGAUCAAUUAUUCACAAUUAAGUGCAAUUUAUCUUUAACUGUCUUCUAAUAGAUCUUAUAAUGAAAAUAUCUCAUUUUAUCAAUAUUAACUAUUUGGCGAAUUGAUUAAGAAUUUUUUAUAUUCUUUAUUAAAGGAAACUGAAAGAUAAUAUUUUUCUCAAGUUAAUCAAUUCAUUCAAGACUACCUUUUAAUCUUAGCUUCUUCCUUUUAUAAUAGUAAAAUCUAGUCACUCGUGUUUGUGAGAUUAUACUCCAUACAAUUGUUUAGUUAAUAAGAAAAUGAAGGAAAAUCAAAAGAAAAUGUCAAAAACUUUUACUACAAAACUUUAUUUUAAAAAAUAUAAAAAUGGUCAAAAGAUUCAUAACAAAAAAUGAAAAACUAAUAGAUGAAAAUGCCAAAAAUUAAUUAAAUAUUAAAUCAAAAUUAGUUUAAAAUUUUUACUUAUGCAUAAAAAAAAGGUUAUUGACAGGUUUUUAUUUUUCUAUUGAAAUCUUUAUAUUUAGUUUGGAUCCUGAAAAUACAUAAGCGGAAAACACAUAAAGGAAUUUCAAAUUCUUUUAUUUGAUAUACAUCAUUCAUGCAACUUACAACUCACUGAGUUCAAAAGAAAGGAUAAGAAUUGAAAAGGGGGCUUCAAUGAUGAAAGCAAACAGUAGGGGCACUCACAUGGAAAAGAUGAAAAAGAAGAAAAAGGGGCGGAACCCAACAUAAAGUAAACAUCUCCUUUACAGGAACAGGCCACAAUUUACUGCCUGCUAAAAUGUCUUGCAUAAUCCAUGAAAUUAAUGUUCACUAAUCUCCACAAUUAUAGCUGCAAAAAAUUUCUUUCUGGGUACCAAAAAUCUCUCUUAACAGUUGAUGUUCAGGUGUCCAGAAAAUUAAUCAUAAUUACCAAAAGGAGCAGAGCAUGACUGGUCAGAAUCUUUUCAGGCUAAGAAUGAGAAAACAAGAAGAAAGCAGCAAAUGUGGGACAGGAGAACCAACACUCCCAUCUAUCUCUUUGGAUUCCCAUUACAGAUUGUCUACCACAAUGACCCACCAACGCGUCUUGCAUAGUCUACCCACCAAAAAGUUUUGAUGCGGGGAAUCUUUUUUCUUUCUUUUUUUCUUUUCUAUUUUGGUGGGCUGUUAAGGAACUGUUGUUCAUCAGAUCCAUUAAGGCAACUCACCCAUCUCUUCUCUUUUGAGUUCUUCAGUCGUCUUUCAAACUCAUCUUUUUCCUGUCAUCCCCUCAAGCAAUGGAUUGUGUGAGCCCAAUCUUGGACGUCGCCACCCGCUUGUGGGAUUGCACCGCCAAGCGUGUAGUUUAUAUUCGUGAGCUUGAAAAAAAUCUCAACUCUCUGGAGCGCUUGACGAAGGAACUGAGCAACUUAAGAACGGAUGUGAUGGCAGAAGUUGAGCGUGAGGAGAAGGAGGAGGUACCACAGCGUAGGCGUAAGAAUGAAGUGGGUGGUUGGCUCAGCGCUGUACAAGCCAUGGAAGAAGAAGUGGAAGAAAUAUUGCAAAAUGGGCGUCAAGAAAUCCAACAGAAAUGUCUCGGAACCUGUCCCAAGAAUUGUAGGUCAAGAUACAGGCUGGGGAAGACUGUGACUGAAAAGAUUAAUGCUGUGACUGAAUUAACGGACAAAGGGCAUUUUGAUGUUGUGACUGAUAGGUUGCCUCGUGCUCCGGUGGAUGAGAGGCCGAUGGGGAAGACUGUGGGCUUAGACUUGAUGUUCGAGAAGGUUCGGAGAUGCCUGGAAGAUGAGCAAGUAAGAAGUAUUGGGUUGUAUGGAAUUGGGGGUGUUGGAAAAACGACCCUCUUGCGGAAAAUCAAUAAUGAGUAUUUUGGUAAAAGUAACGAUUUUGAUGUGGUGAUAUGGGUAGUGGUGUCGAAACCAAUCAGCAUAGAAAAAAUUCAAGAAGUGAUUCUGAAGAAAUUAACGACCCCAGAGCACAACUGGAAGAGUAGUAGCAAGGAGGAGAAGACUGCAGAAAUAUUCAAGUUGUUGAAAGCCAAAAACUUUGUGAUAUUGCUUGAUGAUAUGUGGGAGCGACUCGAUCUCUUGGAGGUGGGGAUCCCUGAUUUGAGUGAUCAAACGAAGUCCAGAGUAGUACUCACUACGAGAUCUGAACGAGUAUGCGAUGAAAUGGAAGUUCAUAAGAGGAUGAGGGUAGAGUGUUUGACACCGGAUGAAGCAUUUUCUCUGUUCUGUGAUAAGGUUGGUGAGAAUAUCCUGAAUUCACAUCCGGAUAUAAAAAGGCUUGCUAAGAUUGUUGUUGAAGAAUGUAAAGGACUGCCACUUGCCCUCAUCGUCAUUGGGCGAUCCAUGGCUAGCAUGAAAACUCCUCGGGAGUGGGAGCAAGCAUUACAAAUGCUGAAGAGUUACCCAGCAGAGUUUUCAGGUAUGGGAGAUCAUGUAUUUCCAAUUUUGAAAUUCAGUUACGAUCACUUGUACAAUCCUAUCAUCAAAUCAUGUUUCCUAUAUUGUUCUUUAUUCCCCGAAGACCAUGAAAUUUGGAAUGAAGAACUCAUAGAUCUUUGGAUCGGGGAGGGGUUUCUGAACAAAUUUGCUGAUAUACACAAAGCACGCAACCAAGGAGAUGAGAUUAUUAGAAGCUUAAAACUUGCAUGUCUCUUGGAAGGUGAUGUAUCGGAAUACACUUGUAAGAUGCAUGAUGUGAUCCGUGACAUGGCUCUUUGGUUAUCAUGUGAAUCUGGGGAAGAAAAUCACAAAAGUUUUGUACUAGAACAUGUUGAGUUGAUUGAAGCAUAUGAAAUUGUGAAAUGGAAAGAAGCUCAACGGAUUUCACUAUGGCAUUCUAAUAUCAAUGAAGGACUCUCUCUAUCACCCCGUUUCCUCAAUCUCCAAACUUUGAUUUUGAGACAUAGUAACAUGAAGUCACUUCCAAUUGGAUUCUUCCAAUUCAUGCCUGUCAUAAGAGUUUUGAAUUUGUCAAAUAAUGCAAAUUUAGUAGAGUUACCUUUGGAGAUUUGUAAAUUAGAGAGUUUGGAAUAUCUAAAUCUAGAAUGGACGAGAAUAAAAAUGAUGCCUAAAGAGCUGAAGAAUUUGACAAAACUGAGGUGUUUGAUGUUAGACUAUGUAGAGGGGCUUGAAGUAAUUCCAUCAAAUGUGAUAUCUUGCCUUCUAAAUUUGCAGAUGUUUAGAAUGAUGCACUUCUUUUUCUCGGAUAUUAUGGAAUAUGAUGCAGUUGGAGUGUUGCAGGAGAUGGAGUGCUUGGAAUACCUGAGUUGGAUAAGUAUCAGCUUAUUUACAGUCCCAGCUGUUCAAAAAUAUCUCACCUCCUUGAUGCUGCAGAAGCGCAUACGAGAGCUAAACCUGAUGGCGUGCCCAGGUUUGAAGGUGGUGGAGCUGCCACUUUCGACUUUGCAAAC